rnacentral:rRNA from 1 species
UACGUAGGGCGCAAGCGUUAUCCGGAAUUAUUGGGCGUAAAGAGCUCGUAGGCGGUUUGUCGCGUCUGCCGUGAAAGUCCGGGGCUCAACUCCGGGAUCUGCGGUGGGUACGGGGCAGACUAGAGUGAUGUAGGGGAGACUGGAAUUCCUGGUGUAGCGGUGAAAUGCGCAGAUAUCAGGAGGAACACCGAUGGCGAAGGCAGGUCUCUGGGCAUUAACUGACGCUGAGGAGCGAAAGCAUGGGGAGCGAACAGG